rnacentral:rRNA from 1 species
UGGGGAAUCUUGCGCAAUGGGCGAAAGCCUGACGCAGCCAUGCCGCGUGAAUGAUGAAGGUCUUAGGAUUGUAAAAUUCUUUCACCGGGGACGAUAAUGACGGUACCCGGAGAAGAAGCCCCGGCUAACUUCGUGCCAGCAGCCGCGGUAAUACGAAGGGGGCUAGCGUUGCUCGGAAUUACUGGGCGUAAAGGGAGCGUAGGCGGACAUUUAAGUCAGGGGUGAAAUCCCGGGGCUCAACCUCGGAAUUGCCUUUGAUACUGGGUGUCUUGAGUAUGAGAGAGGUGUGUGGAACUCCGAGUGUGGAGGUGAAAUUCGUAGAUAUUCGGAAGAACACCAGUGGCGAAGGCGACACACUGGCUCAUUACUGACGCUGAGGCUCGAAAGCGUGGGGAGCAAACAGG